AACGCGAAGAACCUUACCAGGCCUUGACAUGCAGAGAACUUUCCAGAGAUGGAUCGGUGCCUUCGGGAACUCUGACACAGGUGCUGCAUGGCUGUCGUCAGCUCGUGUCGUGAGAUGUUGGGUUAAGUCCCGUAACGAGCGCAACCCUUGUCCUUAGUUACCAGCGCGUUAAGGUGGGCACUCUAAGGAGACUGCCGGUGACAAACCGGAGGAAGGUGGGGAUGACGUCAAGUCAUCAUGGCCCUUGCGGCCUGGGCUACACACGUGCUACAAUGGUCGGUACAAAGGGUUGCCAAGCCGCGAGGUGGAGCUAAUCCCAUAAAACCGAUGUAGUCCGGGUCGCAGUCUGCAACUCGACUGCGUGAAGUCGGAAUCGCUAGUAAUCG
rnacentral:rRNA from 1 species